rnacentral:rRNA from 1 species
ACGAACGCUGGCGGCGUGCUUAACCCAUGCCAGUCGAACGGAAAGGCCCUGCUUUUGUGGGGUGCUCGAGUGGCGAACGGGUGAGUAACACGUGAGUAACCUGCCCUUGACUUUGGGAUAACUUCAGGAAACUGGGGCUAAUACCGGAUAGGAGCUCCUGCUGCAUGGUGGGGGUUGGAAAGUUUCGGCGGUUGGGGAUGGACUCGCGGCUUAUCAGCUUGUUGGUGGGGCAGUGGCUUACCAAGGCUUUGACGGGUAGCCGGCCUGAGAGGGUGACCGGCCACAUUGGGACUGAGAUACGGCCCAGACUCCUACGGGAGGCAGCAGUGGGGAAUAUUGCACAAUGGGCGGAAGCCUGAUGCAGCAACGCCGCGUGCGGGAUGACGGCCUUCGGGUUGUAAACCGCUUUCGCCUGUGACGAAGCGUGAGUGACGGUAAUGGGUAAAGAAGCACCGGCUAACUACGUG